UACGGGGGGGGUAAGCGUUGUUCGGAAUUACUGGGCGUAAGGGCUCGUAGGCGGCCAACUAAGUCAGACGGGAAAUCCCUCAGCUUAACUGGGGAACUGCGUCUGAUACUGGAUGGCUUGGAUUCGGGAGAGGAAUGCGGAAUUCCAGGUGUAGCGGUGAAAUGCGUAGAUAUCUGGAGGAACACCGGCGGCGAAAGCGCGAGACUGGGCCAUAACUGACGCUGAGGAACGAAAGCUAGGGGAGCGAAAGGG
rnacentral:rRNA from 1 species